rnacentral:rRNA from 1 species
GUGCCAGCAGCCGCGGUAAUACAGAGGUCUCAAGCGUUGUUCGGAAUCACUGGGCGUAAAGGGUGCGUAGGCCGCACGGUAAGUCAGAGGUGAAAUCCCGGAGCUCAACUUCGGAAUUGCCUCCGAUACUGCCGUGCUUGAGGACUGGAGAGGAGAUUGGAAUUCACAGUGGAGCAGUGAAAUGCGUAGAUAUUGUGAGGAACACUAGUGGCGAAGGCGAAUCUCUGGACAGUUCCUGACGCUGAGGCACGAAGGCCAGGGGAGCAAACGGGAUUAGAUACCCGUGUAGUCC